rnacentral:rRNA from 1 species
UGGGGAAUAUUGGACAAUGGGGGAAACCCUGAUCCAGCAAUGCCGCGUGUGCGAUGAAGGCCUGAGGGUUGUAAAGCACUUUCGUUGGGGAGGAAAUGCUCAAAGCUAAUACCUUUGAGAGCUGACGUUAUCCAAAGAAGAAGCACCGGCAAACUCUGUGCCAGCAGCCGCGGUAAUACAGAGGGUGCAAGCGUUAAUCGGAGUUACUGGGCGUAAAGGGCGCGUAGGCUGAUGUUUAAGUUAAUUGUGAAAUCCCUGGGCUUAACCUAGGAAUUGCAGUUAAUACUGGACAUCUAGAGUAUGGUAGAGGAAAGUGGAAUUCUCGGUGUAGUGGUUAAAUACGUAGAUAUCGAGAAGAACACCGGUGGCGAAGGCGACUUUCUGGACCAAUACUGACGCU